rnacentral:ncRNA from 1 species
UCGUGACUGCGUGCCUUUUGAAGAAUGAGCCUGCGAGUUAGCGGUGUGUAGCGAGGUUAACCCGUGUGGGGAAGCCGUAGCGAAAGCGAGUCCGAAUAGGGCGUUUGAGUUGCACGCUCUAGACCCGAAGCGGAGUGAUCUAGCCAUGGGCAGGUUGAAGCGGAGGUAAGACUUCGUGGAGGACCGAACCCACCAGGGUUGAAAACCUGGGGGAUGACCUGUGGUUAGGGGUGAAAGGCCAAUCAAACUCCGUGAUAGCUGGUUCUCCCCGAAAUGCAUUUAGGUGCAGCGUCGUGUGUUUCUUGCCGGAGGUAGAGCACUGGAUAGGCGAUGGGCCCUACCGGGUUACUGACCUUAGCCAAACUCCGAAUGCCGGUAAGUGAGAGCACGGCAGUGAGACUGUGGGGGAUAAGCUCCAUGGUCGAGAGGGAAACAGCCCAGAGCAUCGACUAAGGCCCCUAAGCGUACGCUAAGUGGGAAAGGAUGUGGAGUCGCAGAGACAACCAGGAGGUUGGCUUAGAAGCAGCCACCCUUGAAAGAGUGCGUAAUAGCUCACUGGUCAAGUGAUUCCGCGCCGACAAUGUAGCGGGGCUCAAGCGUACCGCCGAAGUCGUGUCAUUGCAGCAAUA